rnacentral:rRNA from 1 species
CAGUCGCCGCGGGAAUACGGAGGGUGCAAGCGUUAAUCGGAAUUACUGGGCGUAAAGCGCACGCAGGCGGUCUGUUAAGUCAGAUGUGAAAUCCCCGGGCUCAACCUGGGAACUGCAUUUGUGACUGUAUAGCUAGAGUACGGCAGAGGGGGAUGGAAUUCCGCGUGUAGCAGUGAAAUGCGUAGAUAUGCGGAGGAACACCGAUGGCGAAGGCAAUCCCCUGGGCCUGUACUGACGCUCAUGCACGAAAGCGUGGGGAGCAAACAGGAUUAGAUACCCGUGUAGUCCCUGUCUCUUAUAC